rnacentral:siRNA from 1 species
UUCACUUACGCAGGAGCAUAUCA